GACGAACGCUGGCGGCGUGCCUAAUACAUGCAAGUAGAACGCAGUUGCGAACGGGUGAGUAACGCGUAGGUACCUGCCUCGUAGCGGGGGAGAACUAUUGGAAACGAUAGCUAAUACCGCAUACUGUGAGAUGGACCUGCGUGGUAUUAGCUAGUUGGUGAGGUAAAGGCUCACCAAGGCGACGAUACAUAGCCGACCUGAGAGGGGUAUCGGCCACACCGGCACUGAGACACGGCCCAGACUUCGUCGGGAGGCAGCAAUAUGGAAACGUGGCCAAUAGACGGAACACGGACCGCGCAGCUCCGGCUGGGUGAAGAAGGUUCCCGGAUCGGAAAGCUCAGUUAUGCGGGAAGCGGUAACUAACCAGAAAGGGACGGCUAACUACGAGCCAGCAGCCGCGGUAAUUC
rnacentral:rRNA from 1 species